UCCUCUCCUCCUCCACCACCUGUGUCCUCUCCUCCUCCACCACCUGGGUCCUCUCCUCCUCCACCACCUGGGUCCUCUCUUCCUCCACCACCUGCAAAACGCAAUUCAAAACGUAAAAUUAAAGAAUGCAGAAAACAUGCCAAACAGACCAUAUACAAUUAUUCCCACAUUGUGGAUAAGCGUGUUGUUGGUGGAAAAGAAGAAGUCAGGGUGAAAUGGACAUCUUGCACAAAAUGUGGGAAAGAAUGGCCUGACUCGUGGGAGCCAGCAGAACAAUACAAAUGAUCUAUUAAUUAAAUAUUUUAUUUUUUGUGUUUCAUCUUCUCAAAAAUUAAUAAAAAAGUUUUUUGGUAUUUUUAUAUUGCAAUUGUUGGUCAGAUCCGAAAUAAAAAUGUAUUCAUGUCAAUUUUGUUCAUUGAUUUGGAUAUUUUCUUUUAUACUUUGAAUGUUUCAAUACAUUAAAAUCAUUACAUCUACAUGUUUUUUUUAUGUUAUUGUUGAAAGAAAGCAAUAGGCUUUUAGAAAAUAGACCUGUAAAAAUAAACGGUUCCUGGAGGAGCCUUUUGCGGUUCUUCACUUUGCCACAUUGGAUGCAGCAGCUUCAUUUUCCGUUUGUUUUUCCUCUUUUCUGGUGGAUGGUCCAGGCAUUCAGGUCUACAGGAGGGUUUUUACUCUUGUUGAAACUUGUAUUUCAGCUUACCGAGGUCCCUGCAAAGGACAAAAAAUACGGUUAGUAAUGUUAUUAAAGUGAUAGUUGUGAACUUAAAAUUCUUUCCUCAGCCUUGUGACAUUCCAAACCUGUUUGACUUUCUGUCUGUGGAACCCAAAAGUAGAUCUCGGAGUCGGGCAUAAUACAACCCAAGUCACCGUUCACUUUCACUGCAUGUGUUCAUAAGCAGUUUUUUAUUUUUUAUAAUUCAUGACACAUGAAAAUAAAUAAUUUAUGUACAAUUAUCUAGUUCAGUUAAAUUCAAUGCAACACUUUAAGUAAAGAUGGAUAUUCUGUUAAGCUCCAAAUAUGUCACAGAAAAGAUCCUAAAAAAAUAUGGAGGAAAAAAGAGAGGCCACAUCUCCUGUGUUAUGAGUUGUGUUGUAAUUCUUCUGAAACCAUAUUAAUAGCUUUUUUGUCAAAUGUCAUAGAUUCAAAUGCAAAUGAUUAAGGUAUAAGAAAAAAUUCAUAGCAUUAUUGGCACCAAACCUGUGAUAUUAUUUUUCUGAGUAACAUGAAUGAGAUUUGACAGCAUAUUUUAAGAGAAUAACUGAUUAAAUAACACAAGUACACACUCAUACAAAUACAGUUUCACACAGAAAAGUUCAUAGUAAUAAAGUUUGCUACUUGCAUGAAGGUAAAUUAACAUACUAUAAUUCAAUGUUGCCUCUGAAAUUUUCAGAUUAUUUUAGAAAUGUGCUGGUUGUUCUAGGGAAAGAAAAGAACAAAGCUGAUUAUAUCCAUUCACAACAUAAUAUUUAUUGGCCCGUAAAGGGCUUUAAAAUAGUAUUUGAGAAAAUGAGGAGGGCAUCUGUAGUAAAAGUUAACGUUAAACAAAAACAGACCAAACUAACGUUUUGCUACCACUUGUGUUAUUCAUAAUAAACCCCAAUGACGACAGCAGGAAUCAGCUAUUAAUUAGUUAUAUCAGCAAUAUGAAGACAGUUGUACAGAAUACGUUGAAUUAAAUGACUUAAACAAUCUAAAACAAUAAGUCAAUGUUUUCAUGUGUUAAAUAGAUUAGUUAGCAUCGCGGCUAAAACAUUCAUACCACAUAACGUUAACUGUGCAAUAAACGAGUGGUAAACACUGUCAAAACGUAGAAAUAUAUAUAUAUAAUACAUUUAGUAUAUGUGUUUGAAUAUAUAGUGAGUAACGUUAGAUGGUAUUUAUCAUAGCUCUCAACUCUCACGCAUUGACCGUGUGACACACGCAUUUCA